UACGUAGGGCGCAAGCGUUGUCCGGAAUUAUUGGGCGUAAAGAGCUCGUAGGCGGUUUGUCGCGUCCGCUGUGAAAACUCGAGGCUCAACCUCGGGCCUGCAGUGGGUACGGGCAGACUAGAGUGCGGUAGGGGAGAUUGGAAUUCCUGGUGUAGCGGUGGAAUGCGCAGAUAUCAGGAGGAACACCAAUGGCGAAGGCAGAUCUCUGGGCCGUAACUGACGCUGAGGAGCGAAAGCAUGGGGAGCGAACAGG
rnacentral:rRNA from 1 species